AGGGACGCGGCUUCCUCCUCCCCCACCCUCGCGGGACGGUGGCGUGGGAGCGCCCGCCUCGUGGUGCCCGCGGGCCCGGCACGUGCGCGGCCUAGGGACACGAGCAAAGGGAUCGGGAUCAAGGACCCGGCCACGCGGGGCUGGGAAACAGGGGAGCGGGAAAGGACGUCGUUUUCUUCCAAGUGGUGAAAAAGAACUUAGCAGCAGGAGGCCGGGAUUUGGAGGCACAGCCGUUAGAAAGCCGAAGUGCGUAAGGUGCGUUUGUUCAGCAAACAGGAGCAGUGGCGUGUGCCAGAAUUCCAGCCAGCACAGCGAGCCCGCCGUGACAGAGGGGACGGGAGUCACCUGGAGCUGCCGGGGUGCGCCGGCGUUUGGAAAUGGCAGAAAAAGACGACCCUAAUUUUAGAUUCAUUUAACAUUAGCGCUUCAGGGGGGCAAGGAGAAGGUCUGAUUGUCCAUUAGGAGACCAUGUUUGAAAAUUAAUCCUUUUACGUCAAGAAUUCCGUCCAUUCAGCCUCUUCCAUGUCUUUAGUACAAGGUGUCAAUCGAACUUCGGGCACAAAUGCCACACUGAUUUAAAGAUUGCUGAGAUUACAAAGGCCACACCACUCUUAUUGCUUUAGCUCUGCACCUCUGCUGUCUCCCAAAUUAUGGAAAAAGAUAAUAUUUCAGUAAUCUCGUAAAUAUGAGUUUGAGUUUCUCUCCCACAUACUCUGUCCACUGCUAAUACUAAUUCAAUGAAUAAUGUCGCAGAUGAGUAAAAUCAUGUUUUAAGAGACUG